rnacentral:ncRNA from 1 species
ACGAGCCGGAUGAAUCGAGAGGUUCACGUCCGGAUCUGUGAGGGCCGGAGGGCGAGAUUCCCUCCGGCUACUCGGC